rnacentral:misc_RNA from 1 species
UUUAAUAUUUUUUAAUUAAUAUAUAUACAAAAAGCAGUUUCAAUAACAAUAACAAGCUCUCGUGUGUUUCUCAGAGCAAAUGCACAGAUUCUCAGAGUCCUGCGUUGCUGUAUUAGAAGAUGGGCUGGGACCGAGGUUUUGGGGUUAUUAUUCCCAUGUCAUUGCAAUAUGUUAUAUAGGAUGAAUAGAUGCAUUUAUUACUUCUUAUCAUUUAAGAAUUCGUGGCAACUGUGCUGAAUAUAGUUAGCAUUUUUUCACAAGUUGUUAGUUCGGCAGUGAUGUGUGAAUUUAACUAUAGUUGCUAGAAUUAAAGUUCAAGUUUGUGGAACUGAGGAAUACAAUCUGAUGCAAAAUCUGGGGAGAGUGGUUCUAAAAUCUGUUGAUGCUUUCCAGAGGUCAGAGAAUGAACGAUAUUAUUGAUUCUCUGCCACUAGCAAAUAGGGAAAGAUUGAUAAAUAGGUUUCUUGAGUGAAUCAUCUCUCUGAUAUAUCCAAUGUUUAAAUUGCACAUUUACACUUCAUGUGUAAAAAACAAUGUAGGGAAGAUUGAUAAAUAUUUCCUACAAAGUUUUAUAAUUUGGAAGUGUUUUCCUUUUCAGUUCGCUUGUUCAAACGCACAAAA